rnacentral:rRNA from 1 species
UACGUAGGGGGCAAGCGUUGUCCGGAAUCAUUGGGCGUAAAGAGCGCGUAGGCGGCCCUGUAAGUCCGCUGUGAAAGUCAAGGGCUCAACCCUUGAAUGCCGGUGGAUACUGCAGGGCUAGAGUCCGGAAGAGGCGAGUGGAAUUCCUGGUAUAGCGGUGAAAUGCGCAGAUAUCAGGAGGAACACCGGUGGCGAAGGCGGGUCUCGUGGGCCGAUGACUGACGCUGAGGAGCGAAAGCGUGGGGAG